GACGAACGCUGGCGGCGUGCUUAACACAUGCAAGUCGAACGGUAAGGCCUUCGGGUACACGAGUGGCGAACGGGUGAGUAACACGUGGGUGAUCUGCCCUGCACUUUGGGAUAAGCCUGGGAAACUGGGUCUAAUACCGAAUAGGAUCAUGGCCUUCAUGGGUUGUGGUGGAAAGCUUUUGCGGUGUGGGAUGGGCCCGCGGCCUAUCAGCUUGUUGGUGGGGUAAUGGCCUACCAAGGCGACGAAGGGUAGCCGGCCUGAGAGGGUGUCCGGCCACACUGGGACUGAGAUACGGCCCAGACUCCUACGGGAGGCAGCAGUGGGGAAUAUUGCACAAUGGGCGCAAGCCUGAUGCAGCGACGCCGCGUGAGGGAUGACGGCCUUCGGGUUGUAAACCUCUUUCAGCAGGGACGAAGCGCAAGUGACGGUACCUGUAGAAGAAGGACCGGCCAACUACGUGCCAGCCGCCGCAGUAACAC
rnacentral:rRNA from 1 species